UGCCAGCCGCCGCGGUAAUACGGAGGGUGCAAGCGUUGUUCGGAAUCAUUGGGCGUAAAGCGGGUGUAGGCGGUGAGGUAAGUCGGAUGUGAAAGCCCGGGGCCCAACCCCGGAAUUGCAUUCGAAACUGCCCCACUAGAGUCUCGUAGAGGAAGGCAGAAUUCCCGGUGUAGAGGUGAAAUUCGUAGAGAUCGGGAGGAAUACCAGUGGCGAAGGCGGCCUUCUGGGCGAUGACUGACGCUGAGAUCCGAAAGCGUGGGGAGCAAACAGGAUUAGAUA
rnacentral:rRNA from 1 species